GAUGAACGCUGGCGGCGUGCCUAAUACAUGCAAGUCGAGCGAACAGACGAGGAGCUUGCUCCUCUGACGUUAGCGGCGGACGGGUGAGUAACACGUGGAUAACCUACCUAUAAGACUGGGAUAACUUCGGGAAACCGGAGCUAAUACCGGAUAAUAUAUUGAACCGCAUGGUUCAAUAGUGAAAGACGGUUUUGCUGUCACUUAUAGAUGGAUCCGCGCCGCAUUAGCUAGUUGGUAAGGUAACGGCUUACCAAGGCGACGAUGCGUAGCCGACCUGAGAGGGUGAUCGGACACACUGGAACUGAGACACGGUACAGACUCCGACGGGAGGCAGCAGUAGGGAAUCUUCCGCAAUGGGCGAAAGCCUGACGGAGCAACGCCGCGUGAGUGAUGAAGGUCUUAGGAUCGUAAAACUCUGUUAUUAGGGAAGAACAAAUGUGUAAGUAACUAUGCACGUCUUGACGGUACCCAAUCAGAAAGCCACGGCUAACUACGUG
rnacentral:rRNA from 1 species